rnacentral:misc_RNA from 1 species
GUGAUUAAAUCGAGCGUGUCUUCAUUGACCGCUCACCCUUCUCACCAUCCACAUACACCUGUGCACUGCUUAGCCUGAGCCGGUUUUCCGGUCCAGGUUAUCAUUUCAUACAAACUCUAGUCUUAUGAAUGUAAACGUUUUAAUAACAUAAUA